GGGCUCGCUUUGGCAGCACAUGCGCUAGAAUUGGAAUGAUACGGAGAAGAUUAGCAUGGCCCCCGUGCAAGGCUGACACGCAAAUUCGUGAAGCGGCCCAUAUUUAA